GUGAAAACACCGAGUCCUAACCACUGUACUACCAGUACAGUCCCUCCAGAUGCCAUUUAAAGGAACUGGUAUCUGUGAAGUGCUUGGCACUGGGUACAUGGACACAAAGUUGAGUGGUCGCUUUCUCCCUUCUAUGCCAGCAGUCCUAGGCUUUGAGUAUGGCCUUCACUCAGAACUGCCUCACCCUCAGGACUUAAGAACCGACCCUCCUCACCAUAGCCGUUACUGUUCCAACUCCACUGUCCCUACUCUGCCCUCAAAGCCUUUCUGUCCCUUCUCACUUCAGCGUCUACUGGAAUCAUCACAGUUGGCUUCACAUCUCUCUCCACUACAAGCCAGUACUGACUGUCACAGUUCCCAAAGUAAACUCAACUGUUUGAUUUCCCUUCUCUUUCUCCUUCAGCUGCAGAAUCCUAGCAUGUAUCACGAGAUGUGGCUAGUUUCUGGCUGAUCUGGGCCCUGGCACCAGCCUCUCCGGCGACCUGCUGCGGCCAUGAGUCUGACCAGCCGGCCGUGAGCCUCUGCCGUUCAGAUGGCUUUUCCAGCCUGCACUUCUCUCUCAGAAACUUCAUCUGUGCUCGGAAUAACGGUGGAGGAUGAUGGUGUGUCCCAGCUCGUCAGUGGAGGCCAGGGAGUGGACAUCACCAUACAAAAACUAAUGGUCCGGGAACAUGGCGAAUAUGACGGUCCUUGGUCUGGUGAAGCAAAGUCACGGGCAACCAGCAGGACUUCUAACAGGCUUUUUGAAAUACUGAAAUGGAGCUUGGAGACUUCCCCAUCUGACAGUUCGCUCAGACUGGGAACUCAGCUUCUACACUGGUCUAGUUCACCAUGCCCCAGUGUGCUCAAGAAUGCAACCUGGACCUGCAUGUGGCUAAAGAAGCCCAACACAAGAAAUGCUGCCCAGAGUGUAUAUGCACUGCUAUAGAUUUACAACAGCAUACAUAGCCAAGGCUCAGAGUAGCCCUGUGAUAAAAGCUGAUUCUCAACAUGGAAUUUCCCGAACUUAUUUUAUGGCAAUUUUUUAUACAAACCCUAUUAUGUUUCAUAUGACUUUCUCUGAAACACUUAGGGAACCACUCAACUGAGUCUGUCCCCUCAUCUGCAAACUAGUCAAAG
ensembl:lncRNA